rnacentral:rRNA from 1 species
UACCAGCUCUCCGAGUGGUAGGGAUGAUUAUUGGGCUUAAAGCGUCCGUAGCCGGCUUAGCAAGUUUCCUGUUAAACUCAGCGACUCAAUCGUUGAAUCGCGGGAAAUACUACUAGGCUAGGAGGCGGGAGAGGUCAACGGUACUUCUGGGGUAGGGGUGAAAUCCUAUAAUCCCGGGAGGACCACCAGUGGCGAAGGCUGUUGACUAGAACGCGCUCGACGGUGAGGGACGAAAGCUGGGGAAGCGAACCGGAUUAGAUACCCGGGUAGUCCCAGCUGUAAACGAUGCGAGCUAGGUGUUGGGAUGGCUACGGGCCAUUUCAGUGCCGCAGGGAAGCCAUUAAGCUCGCCGCCUGGGGAUACGGCCGCAAGGCUGAAACUUAAAGGAAUUGGGCGGGGAGCACCACAAGGCGUGAAGCUUGCGGUUC